rnacentral:rRNA from 1 species
GCUGAAAAUCUAGCCCCUCCCAAUCUAAUGAACCUUAAAAACUUUCUGAAUCAGUUAAAACAUUCUCUUAUUUUAGUAAAGGCGAUUAAAAAAUUAUCAGGAGCUAUAUAAAUAGUACCGCAAGGGAAAGAUGAAAUAAAAAUGAAAUAAAUUUUAAGCAGAAAAAAGUAGAGACUUACCCUCGUACCUUUUGCAUCAUGGUUUAACUAGUCAAAUUAAGCAAAACGACUUAUAGUUUAACUUCCCGAAACUAAGCGAGCUACUUCAGGGCAGCUUAUUGAGCGAACCCGUCUCUGUUGCAAAAGAGUGGGAAGACCUUCAAGUAGGGGUGACAGACCUAACGAGCUUAGUGAUAGCUGGUUACUCAAGAAAAGGAUCUUAGUCCAACCUAAAGCCUCAUCUCAUCUAUUGAAAUAAUAAACUUACUUUAGAGCAAUUCAAAUAAGGUACAGCCUAUUUGAAACAGGAUACAACCUCAAAAGACGGGUAAUCAUUAGUAAUAAUAAUUAAGUAGGCUUAAAAGCAGCCACCUUUAAAAUAGCGUCAAAGCUUCAUUAUUCCCAUCCCUAAUUCCAUCAAUUAUCUCGAACCCUCCACUAUUAUUGAGUACUUCUAUAUUACUAUAGAAAAUUUUAUGUUAAAACUAGUAACAAGAAGCAGAACUUCACUUAAAUGCAAGUGUAAAUCAGAAAGGACACACCGCUGACUAUUAACAUAUUUGAAAACAAAUUAAUAACUCAACAAGAAAAAUUUAAUUUAAUUUAUGUUAACCUAACACUAGAGCAUUAAAAGUAAGAUUAAAAGAAAAAGAAGGAACUCGGCAAAUAUUAACCUCGCCUGUUUACCAAAAACAUCGCCUCCUGACAAAAUAUAGGAGGUCCAGCCUGCCCAGUGACUUUGUUCAACGGCCGCGGUAUCCUAACCGUGCGAAGGUAGCGUAAUCACUUGUUCUUUAAAUGAGGACUAGUAUGAAUGGCAUCACGAAGGUUAUACUGUCUCCUUUUUCUAAUCAGUGAAACUAAUCCCCCCGUGAAGAAGCGGGGAUAAUUCUAUAAGACGAGAAGACCCUAUGGAGCUUUAAACUAAACAACAUUUGCUUUUAUAAAUUUUUAACUCCAGAGUUCUUAUAUCUAGUUAAGCCUAUUGAUUGUUAGUUUUAGGUUGGGGUGACCGCGGAGCACAAAAUAACCUCCGCAUUGAAUGAGAAUUCAUCUCUGAGCUAUGAGCUACGACUCUAUGCACCAAUAAAUUGACAUUAAUUGACCCAAUAUAUUGAUCAACGAACCAAGUUACCCUAGGGAUAACAGCGCAAUCCGCUUCAAGAGCUCCUAUCGACAAGCGGGUUUACGACCUCGAUGUUGGAUCAGGGUAUCCCAGUGGUGCAGCCGCUACUAAAGGUUCGUUUGUUCAACGAUUAAAACCCUACGUGAUCUGAGU